AAGAGAGAGAGUAUGGGGGGUUGGCAGAAGGAGAGGAAGAAGCAGGCUUCCCCACUGAGCAGGGAGGGUCACCCCGCAUCCCAGACCCAGAGAGAUCAUGACCUGAGCCUGAAGCAGCCUCUCAACUGCUCAACCGACUGAGCCACCCAGGUGCCCUGGGGCAAAACACUUAUUAACGUCUCUCCUCAAUGGGCUGUGGGUCCCUUGAAGUCAGAGUCCACCCUGUUUUCUUCAACUGCUGUUCCUCAAGUGCUUAACAUAGUGCUGGAUACUUUAAUAAAUAUUUGAUGAAGCAAUGAAUAUCCCGUGGAAGUAGGGUCCCACAGAACACACCUUAUAAAACUAUUCACAUCUCUAUGGAAUAGUCCAAAGGACAACCGUCCCAAAUAGGAAGAUCACUUUGAAUCUCAUAGUCAAAUCCCAAUUUGUGAGGUUACUGUUAAGAGUACAAAGGCAUUUAUUGUUUGUGGUCAGAAAACUUCUCCUUUGCUCUCAAACUAUCUUCUCUUUGUAUCAAAUGAACCUGACCAUACAUUUCAAAUUCACUGCCUAUAAAAAUCUACUGAGGGGAACGUUUAAAAUGCAAGUCCUGGGAAUUCAGUAUUUCUAGAGUAUUUCUAGAGGAGCCCAGGACUCCACAUUUUGCACAAAUAUCCUAGGUCAUUCUGACAUAGGUGUUCAGGUGGAAUGUACUUUGAGAAAUGCUGACCAAGAGACACUGAGGAAAAGAGGAGUCCUUGACUUGGAAUCAGAAGCCUGUUGGAGGCCCAGAUCUGCAUCUCCACUACUCGUGUGGCCAUGGCAGGGGCCUCUCAGCUUUGCUUCCCUCUCUGUGGGACUCAUAAUACAUUUGAUAGUCUAUGUAUCUAGCUCCUACCCACCCACCUCACAGCAUUGGAUAAGGGGAAAGCAUUUAUGAAACUCUGCCCUGAAACCUAGCAGGUAUUCACACUGUUUAACAAAUCAGUAAGUUCACAGUUAUUUUAAAGUUCUAUGGUAUUAAACAAACUCUAUCACAGCAAGUGCUCAGCACAGAAAGAUUUUCUGCUGAUUCUUUAAAGAUAGACCCAAGAGAGUUGGACCAAUACUGUAUGCACCUGUAUCAGUCAACCUGGCAAAGUGUCCCUCAGAACAUUUGGCUCAUGCCUAUGGACACAAUAAUUAGCCAAAUCAUGGCAAGAGCCAACCUAUGUGACACUGGCCACAACAUACAGAAUGUUCAAAUCUUUCCUAUGCUUGUUACCAGACCUUCCCAGAGUGGACUCUUCACUCUUAAGUGAGUUAACAGCGAGAGUAAACUCUUUGGCUGGUGUCUAUGUAUUUACAGAGAUGGUUCUUGUUUAUCAAGUAUCUUCAUUAAUAAUAAUUAAUCAUUGUUCAAGAAGUACAACGCAAUGGAAUAUACAUAAUGAUAAUACAGUACUCCGCGUAUUUAAUUCUCUCUCCAUUCUGAAGACUCUUCUGGAGCCUGUAGCACUCGGGGUAAUUGCUGUGAAAACUGCUCAAUCAUCUUACAAGAAUCCUCUGAAAACACUAGAGACACUGUCAAUUGUUUCCUAACUUUGCGGUAUAUUCUGAAGCCUGCCUUCUGGCAUUGAUCCAAUAUUGCUUGUUAUUUAUCUUUUCUUUACAAAAUAAGGCAACAAGCUCAAUGACUGAAAAAUCUCUGCCAGAGACUCAUUAUUAAAAAUUUCCAACUAGUGGAAGUAUUACUGUACUUUCUAUAUAUAUUAGUCAUCAUUUUUUUGGUGUUGUCUGUAUUUGCCCUUCUGAUUUUAAACUUUUAAAUUUUAAGUGCUUAUCCCACAGCUCAAGCAUUCAGUGGAUAUACCUAAUAAAUUUCGUCGGCUCAUUGACCUGUGCUGAAGGAUAGCAGCAAGAGAGCUUGGAAACCUGAAUUCAUGCCGCGAUGUUUAUUUUCUAUGUUUGUCAUUGCCUUCGUGCUGCAUGUUCUGGUUGUGAUCUACUUUCCUUGUCUGUGUCUCCUGUUAGCAAGUAACAAAGGUGAUUGCUUACAGGGCUCAUGCAGGUAAGCCAGUAAAUGAAUCAAGCCUGGUUUGGUGACCCCAUCAAAAGAUGGCAGUGACAGCUGGCCCUCUGCUAACUACUGCCAUCAGAGAACACGUAAUGCAGUCCUGGCAGUCCUAGAUCUUCCAAUGUUUCCAGAGAAGCUGGGCAUAUAAUAGGUAUUCAAUAAAUAUUUACUGUAGCAAGUAAUUCAGAGACUCCGAUUUUCACCAGAAAUCUCUAGAUUUUAGAUGUCAGCAGCAUUAAGCAGUAGUAAGAUCACAGACUCUCCAGCCAGACUGCCCAGGUUCAAAAUUUAACUCUGUCACUUAUCAGCUACAUGACCUUGGGAAAGUUAUACGAAAACUUUAUGCUUAGUGUUCUCAUCUGUAAAAGGGGGAGAAAGGAAUUGUAUCAACCUCAUCGGGUUGUUUGAGAACUUAACUUUCUAAUAUUUAUUAAAUCUUGGAUGAUACGUGGCACAUUGCAAGUGUCACAUAAACACGGAAGCUCACACUUAAACUUCAAAACGCCUUAUAAUUUUCACACGUAUUAUCCCAUCUUUUCCCCACCGUAAGUGGUGGAUGAAUGUAUUGCCCUGUAUGCAAGGUAAUAGUUUCCAACAGGAUCUUUCAGGGCUGUUCAGGAUGACAGCCAUGCAAGCUACUCAUGCAGAACGCAGGGCAUGCACACUUAGGAAGUGUCUAGUCGGGCAGCCCGGGUUGCUCAGUGGUUUAGCGCCGCCUUCAGCCCAGGGUGUGAUCCUGGGGACCCGGGAUCGAGUCCCACAUCGGGCUCCCUGCAUGGAGCCUGCUUCUUCCUCUGCCUGUGUCUCUGCCUCUCUCUCUCUCUCCCUGUGUCUCUCAUGAAUAAAUAAAUAAAAUCUUUGAAAAAAGAAAGUGUCUAGUGAUUUACCCAAUAGCAUAUUCCAUAAAAGGACAGAUGUAGAAAAGCUGGUCCAAGACUUCUAAUGGACAGAAUCAGAGAUGUCUCAGUGUUCACCAUAAGCCAUGAAAUAAAAAAAGACCUGAUUCAAACCACUGUCUGGUUAUUUUUUAACCUAUACAUUAAUUACUCCAAAGCAGCCAAUGUGAGAGCAUAAGCAAAACCCUCAAUAAUGUGUAUUUAUAUUCCUCCCCUUUUUAUUCAUUUUUGCUUCUAAAUUGCAUUGUAAUAUUUUAGUUUCUCUUUUCUCUGCCUCCAAGACCUUUCUCCUGGGGACUUUACAAAUACAGGCCUAUGUGUAGAAACUGCUAAGUUAGGAACACUCUGUCAAUCUUUCCUUUGAUUUUCCUGGUUGUUGUUGGUUUAAGGCAGAUCCUUAAUGUUAUUUAAACAGAAGAGACUGUUUAGAAUUUCUUGGUAGAUGAAUUUGAUAAUGAUAAUUUUUUUAAAAAACAACUACUGUCUUCUUGGGAUAAAAGAUCUCAUUCAGGAGGGUAGACAGCUUAUCUGAAUAACUCAGGACUUCUUUGAAGAAAAAGGUCAAUGUAGCCAUAGAUGUUUCCUUGUCUUGAACAACAACAGUUACUUUAUGUAGUGCCUGAUAACCUGCAUUUCACAAAGUUGUUAUCUGGGCACUACAGAAGUCUUCUCUUUUUUAGGAUUUAGAGUUUUAAAUAUUCGUGUUGUUUAAAUCUGAGUCUUCUCAUGGAUGAGAAAAGCAUUUACUGUUAAAAAUAACUACUGCUAAAUUGGACUUCCUACAAAUUCAAAAUGUUUAUGAAUUGUGGGGCAUUAUCAAGAAAAUGAAAAACCCAGGGGUGCCUCAGUGUCCCAUCUCUUGAUUCGGGCUCAGGUCUUGAUCUCAUGGCUCCUGAGAUCAAGCCCCACCUAUGGCUCUGUGCUCAACAGGGGUCUGCUUCUCGCCCUCUGCCACUUCCCCUGCUUGUGGUGCUUGCUCUCUCUCUCUCUAAAAUAAAUAAAUAAUUAUUAAAAAAUAAAAGAAGAGAAAAAUUAAAAAAAAAAAAAAAAA
rnacentral:lncRNA from 1 species